rnacentral:miRNA from 1 species
UGGGUGAGAGAAACGCGUAUC